rnacentral:rRNA from 1 species
UACGGGGGGGGGCAAGCGUUGUUCGGAAUUACUGGGCGUAAAGGGCUCGUAGGUGGCCAACUAAGUCAGACGUGAAAUCCCUCGGCUUAACCGGGGAACUGCGUCUGAUACUGGAUGGCUUGAGUUCGGGAGAGGGAUGCGGAAUUCCAGGUGUAGCGGUGAAAUGCGUAGAUAUCUGGAGGAACACCGGUGGCGAAGGCGGUUCUCUGGGACGGUACUGACGCUGAGACGCGAAAGCGUGGGGAGCGAACAGG